rnacentral:rRNA from 1 species
GACGAACGCUGGCGGCGUGCUUAACACAUGCAAGUCGAACGAUGAAAGCGGAGCUUGCUCCGCUGGAUCAGUGGCGAACGGGUGAGUAACACGUGGGCAACCUGCCCCUCACUUCGGGAUAACUCCGGGAAACCGGGGCUAAUACCGGAUAUGAACUACUUGGGCAUCCCUGGAGGGCGAAAGUUUUUCGGUGAUGGAUGGGCCCGCGGCCUAUAAGCUUGUUGGUGAGGUAGUGGCUCACCAAGGCGACGACGGGUAGCCGGCCAGAGAGGGCGACCGGCCACACUGGGACGGAGACACGGCCCAGACGCCUACGGGAGGCAGCAGUGGGGAAUAUUGCGCAAUGGGCGAAAGCCUGACGCAGCAACGCCGCGUGCGGGAUGACGGCCUUCGGGUUGUAAACCGCUUUCAGCAGGGAAGAAGCCGCAAGGUGACGGUACCUGCAGAAGAAGCACCGGCUAACUACGUGCCAGCCGCCGCCGUAA